rnacentral:rRNA from 1 species
UGAGGAAUAUUGGUCAAUGGGCGGAAGCCUGAACCAGCCAUCCCGCGUGCAGGAAGACGGCCCUAUGGGUUGUAAACUGCUCUUCCAGGGGGAGAAACUUUCCGAUGAAUCGGGAUUUGACGGUACCCUGGGAAUAAGCAUCGGCUAGCUCCGUGCCAGCAGCCGCGGUAAUACGGAGGAUGCGAGCGUUAUCCGGAUUUAUUGGGUUUAAAGGGUGCGUAGGCGGAUCGAUAAGUCAGUGGUGAAAACCUGCAGCUUAACUGUAGACUUGCCGUUGAUACUGUUGGUCUUGAGUAUGGUCAAGGUAGGCGGAAUGUGUAAUGUAGCGGUGAAAUGCUUAGAUAUUACACAGAACACCGAUUGCGAAGGCAGCUUACUGGACCAUCACUGACGCUGAUGCACGAAAGCGUGGGG